GAUAAUUGCUUUUUUUUUUUUAAGCAAACUGAAGUUUGGUGUCAAUGCUGUGUUGAGCGAGAGAGGACAUCAGGGUCAUUUCCCAGUGGGAUUUGCUCACUCCAUGUUUCUUCUUCACAUGUUGGUAGUUCUUGCAACAUCUCAAACUUUUUCAGCAUUAUUAUAUUUGUUACAGUGAUAUGUGAUCAGUCGUCUUUAUGUUACUACUGUGACUUGCUGAAGGCUCAGGUGAGGCUUAGUACUUUUUGGCAAUAAACAUUCUUUAAUUAAGGUAUGUACAUUUGUUUUUCUAGGCAUAAUGCUAUUGGACACUUACUAGACUACAGUAUAGUGUAAACGUAACUUUCCUAUGUGCUGGGAAACCAAAAACCUUCUAUGACUUUCUUUAUUGUGAUAUUCUCUUUAUUGCUGUGGUCUGGAACCCAACCGACAAUUUCUCCAAGGUCUGUCUGUAGUUAGUGACAGUCACAGCUAGAACCUGAAUGAUUGUCUUUGGCGCCAGACGCCAGCCCAGUUCUGCUCCCCCACAGCCCACUUACACUGGGAGGAGUCCCUGCCCCCCCAUCCCCCCUGGGAACCACACUGAGCUACUCAGCCUGCCCCUUCCACCUGCCCUGGUGUCUGCUUGUCUUCUCUGAAGAGGAGGAACCACUCCAGCCAGAUCACUGCAGCUCCUGGUUUUCAGCUCAGCAUGUUGCAUAGCACAGGUUGUAACCAUGAAACUUACUUAUUUUGUUCCUAACCCUAAGUCUUUCAAAAAUAGUCCCCACUAAAAAGGAUGCCCUUGGCAUAUCUUGCCAGCCUUGCAAGUGAUUCACAGACCUCACUCAAGAUGCCCAGGGACACAGUACCUGCUGUCUAGUAAAAUACCUGCUGCACUGGAAGGUGGCACAGGUGGCUUUAAUGAGCUCAUCCCACUUUUCCAGAGCCUUGUGGGCAGGGCCUGGUGGGGAGGGGCGGAGCCACGCUGGCUUCUUUCCGGGGGCUUCCACCCUGCUUCUCAGACCAGUAGCAUUUCCAAAGCCUUCCCAGGUUCCAGUGGUGGUGGCCAAGGCAGACAGAAUUGCAAAGAGCCGACUUGGUCCCUGCAGAGUCCUUGUCCUCGGGUGCCCCAAAGCCACUGCCUUUGGUUGGGUUCCCCAGAAACAACCUGAGACAGGGCUUCCUGGGACUAAACCCACGUAAACCUGCAAGGGAGUGAGGAAAUCAGGAUGGGGCAGGGAAGGGGCUGGGCCAACUUGUCCUUUUAGUGAAGUCUAGCGUGAUCCCACAGGGAGCUCAGAGGCAUGAGUUGCUCCACUUGGAGUUAAGGCCUCUAGCAGUUGGACCCCCAGACCCGUCACCACUGGCUGUCGGCCGCCCUGGGAGAGGAUAGAACCUCCCAGGCGUUUGUGGGUGAGGUGGCUCCCUCCAUUGAGGAUGAUUGUCUGGAGAAGGGAACAGCUGUGACCCAUUAGUUGCUGACACUCGGGGCAGCUGGGUGCUGAGUAUGCUGGCCACAGUAAGGAGGAGCUGGGUGGGAUGCCUUCUGCACCUACUCCAGGCACCAUUUCUCACCUGUCAGGAAAAACAGAAUGAUCAAGCAUCUGAAGGAAUCAGUGUAAAUCAGAACUGAAGCACAAAGACAGCACAACUCUGCGACACUUGAACGAGAGAAAGCAUAAAAAAGAAGAGCUUUCCUGCUCCUCUGCCCGCCCGUGAGUCUCUGCCCAGGACAAGCGAUGGCGCCGAGUCCCUCACUACGCAGCAAGCUCUGAAUAGAUGGCCUUUGCCUGUUCUCAUUUGGAUGGUUUUCCCUUAUUUCCACAUCUGGCCCCUCCUAGGACCUCAUCAAAGUCACCUCACUGGGGACUUGGGAAGGGGGAAAGCAGACUUGGACCUUGAGAUGUCUGUAUUUCUCAGUGUUGGGGGCCUGAUGCUUCAUCAAAGGUGAUGCCGGCAACAUCUGGCAAUUUAUCUGAUACCUUCCCAGUGCAGCAGAGGAGCAUGAUUGAGUAGGAGGAGGGCCGUCUGCUGGGACAGAGUGAGAAACAGCUGUUUAAAGGUGUGUAUGUGUGUGUUCAUAUGUUUAGCUCCUUUACAGGAACAGCUGUCAUAAUGGCCAGCAGUAUAACCUUAGAGUUUGGAGCUGUGCAAGUGGCCCACACAGUGUGUUCUCUUCCCCAAAGAAUACAUACAGAGUAGGUGCACCUCUGUGUGGAGCUGGUUCUGAAUCCUGGCUUUAUCACUCUCUGGCUGUGUGAUCUUGGACAAGUGCCUCCCCCCUCUCCCUAACCCCAAAGUCUCAAAGCCCUCCUGUGUUCAGCUCAUGGGCUUUUCCAUGGUACAGUCCUGGUCUAAGUGUUGUCUACACACCACCUGCCUCUGAAACCCCUGGGAUAUUUGUUAAGCAUACAGAUUUCUGGGCCCCACCAAAGACCUGAUGAAUCAGAAUCUCUGGCCAUGGUCUGGGCAUCUACAAGACUAGCCAGCUCUGUGAGUAACUUUCCUGCUCACUGAAGUGUGGGAACGUCAAGGUGACUGCAUCUUAGGUACUUGCAUGGUCAUAAUGAGGAUCAAACCUGAUGACCCUCCUGACGGAGGGCUCGUAGGCAGAUCUAUCCAAGGCAAAGCACAUGGCAGUAAACGCAGAAAUGGAGGAACGAAGAGCUGUGGGGAAAGGGAUGAAUUCCAACCUGGGGAAUCUUAGAAGGCUGCCUGAAGGAAGUGGCUUCCAGUGUAGGCCUUAGGGAUGAAGUAGACUUUCAUCCUGCAGAUGUGGAGUCCUCUCUGGGGAGCUGGUGGUGGGAAAGAGGAGAACCUUCUCCCUCCACAGGAGAGAGGCAUCAACUCAGCAGUGCCAGGAGGUCACUUAUUACAGCAGCAGAGGCCUAUUCGAAAGCCUGAUAAGAUGCCACCUGCCGUUGGGGUAGACCAUACUGUCCCUGUUUCAUGCAUGGGGGACUGCAGGGCCAGGGAAGACCAGAGACAUGCCCAAGAAUGUGCAGCUAGGAAGGAGCUCACUGGAGGUCUGACUAUGGAGUUACAGAAUCUGCGGAAAGAGGGGGUUUCUGUGGAGCAUUUGAGGAAAAGGAGCUCCUGUGGGCUGGCUUUUUGGAGAGGGUUGUGUGCUGAUUUGUUGCUAUAGGAAACCUGGCCCCAAGGCGGGAGCAGGCUGGUUUAUGGUUAACUGAUCCCCAGCUCUGAGCAGAGCAGGAGACCUGGGUUGUAGCGUUUGAUGAUGGCUGUAGUGUAAUCACUCCCACCACAGUGCAUUUCAAGCUAUUGACAUGAAGUGACUGAUUAAAGUUGG